CCUCCCGGCGGUUCAAGUUUCUGCGCCCGGAGGACGCGGCCUCGGCCAAUCCCCGGGCUACAGGGCGCUUUUAAAAUGCAGGUCUGGGCAUCGAGAGCCCCGCUCCCGACCCAGGGACACCCCUGCCCCUUCUCUGACGCUGGCAGCAGCAGGAGAGGACACUGGCUCCCUGUCUCCUCUUCAAGUGGCGGAGCAGCCGGCCUGAGAGGUGAGUGGGGUCAUAGGUGACCUCAGCUUCUUGUCCCCGUCCGUAUUCCUGGACAAGGAGGAUGGUGGAAGGACGGAGGACAAGGCAGUGCCUCUGGAAAUCCAAAAUGCCAAGUCCCAGCCCAGGUGCCUCCCUCCCACCGAGGAGCCUCUGGUGUCCUGGUCGCCUCUGGACGUGGUGUGGCCACCAGAAGAACCGGGCAGCUCCAAGGGGCCCCCUGCUGGCCUGAGGAGUUGCUGCGGCCACAAAGAAGAGGUGCGCUCACUCCCCACACCCGCUGACCCAGGACCCAGCUCAGGGACCCAGACCAUGCCAAGCACUUCGCUGGGAGCCACCGGGAAACAGCAUCUCCCCACAGCCCUGCGAGCUGGGCCUUUCACAGAUGUGAGGCCCUGGAGGAGACUGUCCCGUCAGGCUGCUCCCAAAAAUCCACUGUCAGGGAAACAAGCAAGAGGCAGAACAUGAAUAAAAAUAACAUGAAAGUGUAAUUAUUUAAAAAAUAACGAGCAAAGGUGCUGUGCAAGCAUAGACUCUGGAGGAUGGCGCGAGCACCGGGCAGCCCUCAGGGCUUCCUGGAAGGAG
rnacentral:lncRNA from 1 species